CCGACUCCGCCGCCGGUCGUUCUUUGACCGCCGCUUUGCAGUCACAGACAACGAUCGUAUCUAGCUGGCUUGCUUGUCCUCUCGUUGAAUGCUCCUUGGACAGAUCUUUCCAGACCUACCUGUCGAGACGAAUCUGUUGACGAGUCCGAGCGCCGAUACCUGUCGUCACGCCAAGUGAAAGGGAAUUUGAGGCUUCCCAUCGCAGAUACACACCGAGACGACACUGAAGCUUUUAGAACGUCUUGUGAACAUCAUUCUUACCGUUUUUUUCUCGCAAGAACGCUACAGCAAACAUACCAAAUAUGAGAGCUAUAUUGUGCGUAUGCGCCUUGGCGCUCUUCUGUGAGGCAGCCAUUGGUAUGCCCUACGUCGAUGCGGACGACGAAUUCGACGAUGCCCUGAUGACCAAACGGGUCGUGGACAUCUUGUCUCCAUCCUCACACUACCUGGACAAGCGGGACUUCUGCCAAUCAGACUGCUCUUUCUGUGCCAAAUUCCUCACCGACAUGAUCCUUGAUGCCUGUGUCAGUGGUUGCCGGGGCUCGACUGACAGCCCCGACCGUCAGAUGUGGUUCAUGUGCGCCCCGUACAUUGACUAGAUAGAGACUUCCCACUGGUAACUCUAAUUAUACACACGUCUAGGAGACAGGACAUAGUAACCUUCCCCUUAUCAAUAUUGACUGACAAAAUAUUGCCCUACCCUUUACUUUAGCCUGAAUACGCUACCGCUAAAUAAUGCUACCAAAUUCGAAACAUUUUUUGUGGAGUCUCUUGUACAGGGUGAGUUAAAAAGAAAGUUACCCAAAUUAAAUAUUUUUUUUAUAUUAAAGAGCAGUCAAAUUUUACACAACAAUGAAUGAAACGUCCACGUUGCAUUGCACUCAAUAGGCGUUCAUCGGUUCCUAGAAGCGCAAAUGAUCAGUGGUGAAAAGCCGAGUUUUGUGAUUUUUUUUUAUUGAAUCAAUAAAUAGAGUAUGCAAAUUACGUGAAAUUUUCAAAGUAAAAAGUCAUUUAAUAAGCUGUACUUUAUCCCUGUGAUGCUAGGUGUGAAAUGGAGCAAGCCACAUAUUUUACAAAUAUUUUUCGAAUUGGGUAGCUUUCUUUUUGACUCACCCUGUAUACUCAUAUAUACAAGCUACAUAGCUUUACGGCUGUUUUGAUGUACAGAAUUUGGAGAUCCACAACCUAACCAGAAGCAAGUGUUUUUUUACCUCCGCAAAUGAUUGAAAAGUUUAGGCCUAUGUGGGAAUUUCUGUCCACGACUGUACUGGUUGAGUAUUAAAAUUGGAAUAUGGUUAUAUAAAGAUUCUUUUGCGAAGGACAAAUCUUUCUCAAAGCUUGACGAGUUAUUAUUCUAAUACGUCUUAUUCUAAGACUGCUUUUUGCCAAUUUGUGGUUUUCUUUUCACCUUGAAAUAAAGAAAGCAUUUCCCCAGUUUAUUGUUAAACAGAGAUUCGGAGCACAAAUUUAGUGUAGGUUUUAAAGAUUCUUUAAAAUACCUAUGGAUUUCAUGAAGUGAACAAAUAAAAAUAUAAUAAAUGAAUAUAAUUUAACAUUAAUGUUACCUUA